AUACGGAGGGUGCGAGCGUUAAUCGGAAUUACUGGGCGUAAAGAGCGCGUAGGUGGCUUGGUAAGUCGGAUGUGAAAGCCCCGGGCUUAACCUGGGAAUGGCAUUCGAAACUGCCAGGCUAGAGUAUGUUAGAGGGAAGUGGAAUUCCGGGUGUAGCGGUGAAAUGCGUAGAUAUCCGGAGGAACACCAGUGGCGAAGGCGGCUUCCUGGACCAAUACUGACACUGAGGUGCGAAAGCGUGGGGAGCAAACAGCAUUAGAAACCCCAGUAGUCC
rnacentral:rRNA from 1 species